rnacentral:rRNA from 1 species
GAGGAACGCGUGGAUAAUCUGCCUUAGAGUGGGGGAUAACUAGUCGAAAGAUUAGCUAAUACCGCAUAAGACCACAGGAGCUGCGGCUCAAGGGGUCAAAGGUUUUUCGCUCUAAGAUGAGUCCGCGUAAGAUUAGCUAGUUGGUGAGGUAACGGCUCACCAAGGCGACGAUCUUUAACUGGUCUGAGAGGAUGAUCAGUCACACUGGAACUGAGACACGGUCCAGACUCCUACGGGAGGCAGCAGUAGGGAAUAUUGCACAAUGGAGGAAACUCUGAUGCAGCGACGCCGCGUGAGUGAUGAAGGCCUUCGGGUCGUAAAGCUCUGUCGCAGGGGAAUAACACAAUGAAUGUACCCUGUAAGAAAGGAUCGGCUAACUUCGUGCCAGCAGCCGCGGUAAGACGAGGGAUCCUAGCGUUGUUCGGAAUUAUUGGGCGUAAAGCGGAUGUAGGUGGCUUUGUAAGUCAGAUGUGAAAGCCCAGGGCUCAACCCUGGAAGUGCAUUUGAUACUGCGAAGCUUGAGUGUCGGAGAGGUUACUAGAAUUGUUGGUGUAGUGGUGAAAUACGUAGAUAUCAACAGGAAUACCGGAGGCGAAGGCGGGUAACUGGCCGAACACUGACACUGAGAUCCGAAAGCGUGGGGAUCAAACAGGAUUAGAUACCCUGGUAGUCCACGCCGUAAACGAUGGAUACUUGUUGUUGGAGGUAUUGACCCCUUCAGUGACGA